rnacentral:rRNA from 1 species
AUGGCCGUAUGCAUCGUCCAGAUGCAGAGAGGCCAGGGGUCGUCCUCCUUUUCUAAAAAAAAAUCGCACAAGUAUUGUAUCAAGAGCGAGGGCAAAGACCUUUCAAGAGCGAGGUCGAACAUCCAUCAGAACUGCAGCGUGAUCAAGACUGCUGCUCCCAAGACCAAGGCCACAAGGAAGACCCGGCAGGCACACAAGGCAUCAGAUCCCGACCGAUCAUCCGACAUGGACGUCGUCGAGGUCGAAUGCUCCUCCAUCUUCGGAGUCGGGGACGCUGGUUCUGGAACGGCAGCUGCAAGGGCAUACACAGCAGUUUAA